rnacentral:rRNA from 1 species
CACACGGUAAGGAUUGACGGACUGAAGGCUCUUUCUCGAUUCCGUGGAAAGUGGUGCAUGGCCGUUUUGGUUGGUGGAUCGAUCCGUCUGGUUAAUUCCGUUAACGAACGAGACCUCGGCACUCCGAAUAGCGCGGCGGACGUCGCGGCCUCCGGGCCGUCUUCCGCACGAGCUUCUUAGAGGGACCGUCCCCCGCCGGGGAAGGAGGUGCGAGGCAACGACAGGUCUGUGAUGCCCUUAGAUGUUCUGGGCCGCACGCGCAUUACACUGACGCGUCCAACGGGUGACUCCCGACCCGAAGGGGCCGGGGAAUCCGCAAGGCGCGUCGUGAUGGGGAUUGAACGUUGCAAUUGUUGUUCACGAACGAGGAAUUCCUAGUAGGCGCGGGUCAUCAACCCGCGCCGAUUACGUCCCUGCCCC